GACGAACGCUGGCGGCGUGCCUAAUACAUGCAAGUUGAGCGCUGAAGGUUGGUACUUGUACCAACUGGAUGAGCAGCGAACGGGUGAGUAACGCGUGGGGAAUCUGCCUUUGAGCGGGGGACAGCAUUUGGAAACGAAUGCUAAUACCGCAUAAAAACUUUAAACACAAGUUUUAAGUUUGAAAGAUGCAAUUGCAUCACUCAAAGAUGAUCCCGCGUUGUAUUAGCUAGUUGGUGAGGUAAAGGCUCACCAAGGCGAUGAUACAUAGCCGACCUGAGAGGGUGAUCGGCCACAUUGGGACUGAGACACGGCCCAAACUCCUACGGGAGGCAGCAGUAGGGAAUCUUCGGCAAUGGACGAAAGUCUGACCAAGCAACGCCGCGUGAGUGAAGAAGGUUUUCGGAUCGUAAAACUCUGUUGGUAGAGAAGAACGUUGGUGAGAGUGGAAAGCUCAUCAAGUGACGGUAACUACCCAGAAAGGGACGGCUAACUACGUG
rnacentral:rRNA from 1 species